GGAACCGCUUCGGCCCCGGCCGGCCGGGCGGGGAAGACUGGUGUGGUCUGGCCAUGGAUGGGCUCCAGGCCAGUGCAGGGCCGUUGAGGCGCGGGCGGCCGAGGCGCCGGCGCAAGCCCCAGCCACACAGCGGGUCGGUCCUGGCCCUGCCCUUGAGGCCCAGGAAGAUACGAAAGCAGCUGCGAAGUGUUGUAUCCCGCAUGGCAGCGCUGAGGACGCAGACGCUGCCUAGCGAGGACUCGGAGGACUCGAGGGUGGAGUCGACGGCCGACGACCUGGGGGACGCGCUACCCGGUGGGGCGGCGGUGGCGGCCGUCCCGGACGCAGCCCGGCGAGAGCCAUACGGCCACCUGGGGCCCGCAGAGCUGCUGGAGGCCUCGCCCGCCGCGCGCUCCCUGCAGACCCCGCCGGCGCGCCUGGUGCCCGCUUCCGCGCCGCCCGCGCGCCUGGUGGAGGUGCCCGCCGCGCCGGUCCGGGUGGUGGAGACCUCGGCCCUGCUGUGCACCGCGCAACACUUAGCGGCCGUCCAGUCGUCCGGGGCCCCUGCGACGGCGUCGGGGCCGCAGGUGGAUAACACGGGUGGGGAGCCGGCCUGGGACUCCCCGCUGCGGCGCGUCUUGGCCGAGCUGAACCGCAUCCCCAGCAGCCGGCGGCGAGCGGCCCGCCUCUUUGAGUGGCUCAUCGCGCCCAUGCCGCCAGAUCACUUCUACCGGCGCCUAUGGGAGCGCGAGGCGGUGCUGGUGCGGCGGCAGGACCACACCUACUACCAGGGACUUUUCUCUACCGCCGACCUGGAUUCGAUGCUGCGCAACGAGGAGGUGCAGUUCGGCCAGCAUUUGGACGCCGCUCGCUACAUCAACGGACGACGCGAGACCCUGAACCCACCCGGCCGCGCGCUGCCCGCCGCCGCGUGGUCCCUGUACCAGGCCGGCUGCUCCCUGCGCCUCCUCUGUCCGCAGGCUUUCUCUACCACUGUGUGGCAGUUUUUGGCUGUGCUUCAAGAGCAGUUUGGAAGCAUGGCAGGCUCCAACGUUUACCUCACGCCCCCUAACUCGCAGGGCUUUGCCCCCCACUACGACGACAUCGAGGCCUUCGUGCUGCAGCUGGAAGGUAGGAAACUCUGGCGUGUAUACCGACCCCGAGUCCCAACUGAGGAACUGGCUCUGACAUCCAGCCCCAACUUGAGUCAGGACGACCUCGGUGAGCCGGUGCUGCAGACCGUGCUGGAACCUGGAGAUUUGCUGUAUUUUCCUCGGGGCUUCAUUCACCAAGCUGAAUGCCAGGAUGGAGUCCACUCUCUGCACCUCACCUUGUCCACGUACCAGCGCAAUACCUGGGGUGACUUCUUAGAGGCCAUACUGCCUCUGGCAGUGCAGGCUGCAAUGGAAGAAAAUGUGGAGUUUCGGAGGGGUCUGCCCCGAGACUUCAUGGAUUACAUGGGGGCCCAGCAUUCAGAUUCUAAGGAUCCGCGAAGAACCGCUUUCAUGGAGAAGGUGCGGGUCUUGGUUGCCCGCCUGGGACACUUUGCUCCUGUUGAUGCUGUGGCCGACCAGCGAGCCAAAGACUUCAUUCACGAUUCUCUGCCCCCUGUUUUGACUGAUAGGGAGAGGGCACUAAGUGUUUACGGGCUUCCAAUUCGCUGGGAAGCUGGAGAACCUGUAAACGUGGGGGCCCAGUUGACAACAGAAACAGAAGUCCAUAUGCUUCAGGAUGGGAUAGCUCGGCUGGUGGGUGAGGGGGGCCAUUUGUUUCUCUAUUACACAGUGGAAAACUCCCGUGUGUAUCAUCUGGAAGAACCCAAGUGCUUGGAAAUAUACCCCCAGCAAGCUGAUGCCAUGGAACUGUUGCUUCGUUCUUAUCCAGAGUUUGUGAGAGUGGGGGACCUGCCCUGUGACAGUGUGGAGGACCAGCUUUCCUUGGCAACCAUGUUGUAUGAUAAGGGGCUGCUGCUCACUAAGAUGCCUCUAGCCCUAAAUUAGUUUCUUGUUGAUUGCUGGAAACAAUGCAGUAGUGAUUCUCCGCUGCCACUGCUACCUUUUUUUUUUUUUUUCUUAAACUCACGUUCUUACCUUGAUAACCAUCAGUGUGCUCACAUUUACCUUUAUCACUGCUUCAGUGUCACAAACCUCGGAAGGUCUUCUAGGAAGAACCAUCUCAUCUAGGUACAAAAGGCAAAGGAGAAGUUGGAGGUGGAAAAAAAAACCUUGAUCCGUGAUCAUUUCAGAGCACCAACUUCAUCACCUUCAGGCUUCAGUGUACUGGGUAGCACUGACCAUGUCAUUCUGCUUGAGACAGACAUUAGAUUUUUUUUGGAAUUUGGAUCUUUCAUCUGAGUUCUUUUUCAUCAGUUUGGGGGGCGGGUCGGGUUGGAAGAAACGUCCCCAAAUCUGACAAGUGAAUAUUCUCAUGGUUGGUGGAAAAGUGCCUGAUGUACCAGAAAGAGCACUGGACUUGGAACCAGAAGACCUGGGUUUGGGGUGGUAGCUGGUAGGCAGCUGGCUGAGUGACCUGAGGCUGAUGCUACGCUCAGGCACACAGAUUUUGGCACCAGCUGCCAAACAGGCUGCCCGCCGAACUGCUGUGAAGUCAUCAGAGAAGCAGUGCAGGAAGCUUGGGAGAAGCUUGGCGGUCAUAAGCUUGAGCUCACCUAUCAGGUAGAGAG